UCGCAAGCUCGCGAGAGUAAGCUAACCUCUUAAAGCCGUUCUCAGUUCGGACUGUAGGCUGCAACUCGCCUACACGAAGUCGGAAUCGCUAGUAAUCGCGGAUCAGCAUGCCGCGGUGAAUACGUUCCCGGGCCUUGUACACACCGCCCGUCACACCAUGGGAGUUUGUAACGCCCAAAGUCGGUGGCCUAACCUUUAUGGAGGGAGCCGCCUAAGGCGGGACAGAUGACUGGGGUGAAGUCGUAACAAGGUAUC
rnacentral:rRNA from 1 species